UAACAAGGAUUCCCUUAGUAACGGCGAGUGAACCGGGAAGAGCUCAAAUUUGAAAUCUGGCGUCCUCCGGGCGUCCGAGUUGUAAUCUAUAGAAGCGUUUUCCGCGCCGGACCGUGUAUAAGUCUCCUGGAACGGAGUAUCAAAGAGGGUGACAAUCCCGUGCUUUACACGAUGACCGGUGCUAUGUGAUACGUUCUCUACGAGUCGAGUUGUUUGGGAAUGCAGCUCAAAACGGGUGGUAAACUCCAUCUAAAGCUAAAUAUUGGUGGGAGACCGAUAGCGAACAAGUACCGUGAGGGAAAGAUGAAAAGCACUUUGGAAAGAGAGUUAAACAGUAUGUGAAAUUGUUGAAAGGGAAACGAUUGAAGUCAGUCGUGUCCAUUGGGUUCAGCCGGUCCUGCCGGUCUACUCCCUUUGGACGGGUCAACAUCAGUUCUGACCGGCGGAUAAUGGCACGAGGAACGUGGCACCCUCCGGGGUGUGUUAUAGCCUCGCGUCGCAUACGCUGGUCGGGACUGAGGAACGCAGCUCGCCUUCAUGGCCGGGGUACGCCCACGUACGAGCUUAGGAUGUUGACAUAAUGGCUUUAAACGACCCGUCUUGAAA
rnacentral:rRNA from 1 species